UAUUCGAUGCAGUGAUGCUAAUAGUAAUUGUAAAUGGAGAAUAUGUGCAUCCCAACAAGAAGGUUCUGAUGUUUGGAAAAUAAAUCCUUACUACGGAACCUAUACAUGUCCAAAUCCAACCAUCUUAAAGGAUCAUCGACAAAUGGAUUUGAAAUUCAUUUUUGAUUUCAUUAUGCCUAUAGUUCAAGAACAAUCGAGUGUAAGAUUUUAGCUUUACAAGCAAAACAUAAAGACAAAAUUAGUUAUGAUUCAAGUCAUAUAAAAACUUGGAAGGCAAGACAUAUGGCAAUUAUCAAGAUAUAUGGUGGUUGGGAAGAAUCAUAUGGCCGGUUGAGACGAUUCAUGACUGCAUUGUAUAAGGAAAGCCAUGAAUCUUCUAUCCUCAUUGGAGAUGAGGAAUUAUUCAUCAAUAAUCAUUUAGUUUUGGGUAUAGGGUUUUUUAUAGAAUAUUUUGCUUGUUUAAACAAACAACUACAGGAUUUAAUAAUUGCCAACCUGUUUUAUGCAUUGACUCCACCUUUUUGUAUGGGGAAGUAUAAGGUUAUUUAU
rnacentral:misc_RNA from 1 species